AAAGAACAAGCAAAUAGAAGAAAUAAAUCUAAAACUGUUUUCAUUUGUUAUCUCAUAGCCACAGGAUUAUAAUUUCAACUUUAUUCUUUAUACCGCACUUUGUUUUUUCUGUAAUGAGUGCUUCUUGUAUAUUUUUAAAAAGGUAAUAAAUUUAAUGAACAUUCAACACCUUCCGUAAAGU